UACGUAGGUGGCAAGCGUUGUCCGGAUUUACUGGGCGUAAAGGGCGUGCAGGCGGUUUGUUAAGUGCAGAGUGAAAGCUCCCGGCUCAACUGGGAGAGGUCUUUGCAUACUGGCAAACUCGAGGGAGGCAGAGGAAAGUGGAAUUCCCGGUGUAGUGGUGAUAUGCGUAGAUAUCGGGAGGAACACCAGUGGCGAAGGCGGCUUUCUGGGCAUUUCCUGACGCUGAGACGCGAAAGCGUGGGGAGCGAACCGG
rnacentral:rRNA from 1 species